rnacentral:rRNA from 1 species
AGUGAACGCUGGCGGUAGGCCUAACACAUGCAAGUCGAACGGCAGCACAGUAAGAGCUUGCUCUUACGGGUGGCGAGUGGCGGACGGGUGAGGAAUACAUCGGAAUCUACUUUUUCGUGGGGGAUAACGUAGGGAAACUUACGCUAAUACCGCAUACGACCUACGGGUGAAGGCAGGGGAUCUUCGGACCUUGCGCGAUUGAAUGAGCCGAUGUCGGAUUAGCUAGUUGGCGGGGUAAAGGCCCACCAAGGCGACGAUCCGUAGCUGGUCUGAGAGGAUGAUCAGCCCCACUGGAACUGAGACACGGUCCAGACUCCUACGGGAGGCAGCAGUGGGGAAUAUUGGACAAUGGGCGCAAGCCUGAUCCAGCCAUACCGCGUGGGUGAAGAAGGCCUUCGGGUUGUAAAGCCCUUUUGUUGGGAAAGAAAAGCAGCAGGUUAAUACCCCGCUGUUCUGACGGUACCCAAAGAAUAAGCACCGGCUAACUUCGUG